rnacentral:rRNA from 1 species
UACGUAGGGUGCGAGCGUUGUCCGGAAUUACUGGGCGUAAAGAGCUCGUAGGCGGUUUGUCGCGUCGUCCGUGAAAACUUGGGGCUCAACCCCAAGCUUGCGGGCGAUACGGGCAGACUUGAGUACUGCAGGGGAGACUGGAAUUCCUGGUGUAGCGGUGAAAUGCGUAGAUAUCAAGAGGAACACCAGUGGCGAAGGCGAGUCCCUGGACGAUACCUGACACUGAGGCACGAAAGCCGGGGGGAGCAAACAGG